GUUUUCGUUGAUUUUUCCCUUCAAAACAUCUUCAUUCAAUUUUGAAGGUCUUCCACUGUGACUGUCAUCUUCGAAGCUAAACUCUCCAUCUUUAAAUCUUGCAAACCA